UUGUGGCCUAGUGGCAGAGUGCUUGUCUCACACAUGUGAGGCUCUGGGUUCGAUCCUCAGCAUAAA
rnacentral:tRNA from 1 species